CCUACGGGUGGCAGCAGUAGGGAAUAUUGCUCAAUGGGGGAAACCCUGAAGCAGCAACGCCGCGUGGGGGAUGAAGGUUUUCGGAUUGUAAACCCCUUUUGUUAGAGAAGAUAAUGACGGUAUCUAACGAAUAAGCACCGGUUAACUCCGUGACAGCAGCCGCGGUCAUACGGCGGGUGCAAGCGUUACUCGGAAUCACUGGGCGGAAAGAGCGCGUAGGCGGGAUAGCAAGUCAGAUGUGAAAACCUAUGGCUUAACCAUCGAACUGCAUUUGAAACUGGUAUUCUAGAGUAUGGGAGAGGUAGGUGGAAUGCUUGGUGUAGGGGUGAAAUCCGUAGAGAUCAAGAGGAAUACUCAUUGCGAAGGCGACCUGCUAGAACAUGACUGACGCUGAUGCGCGAAAGCGUGGGGAGCAAACAGGAUUAGAUACCCCGGUAGUC
rnacentral:rRNA from 1 species